AACGAACGCUGGCGGCAGGCCUAACACAUGCAAGUCGAACGCCCCGCAAGGGGAGUGGCGCACGGGUGAGUAACGCGUGGGAAUAUGCCCUUCGGUUCGGAAUAACACAGGGAAACUUGUGCUAAUACCGGAUACGAUCUACGGAUGAAAGAUUUAUCGCCGAGGGAGUAGCCCGCGUAGGAUUAGCUAGUUGGUGAGGUAAUGGCUCGCCAAGGCGACGAUCCUUAGCUGGUCUGAGAGGAUGAUCAGCCACACUGGGACUGAGACACGGCCCAGACUCCUACGGGAGGCAGCAGUGGGGAAUAUUGAGCAAUGGGCGCAAGCCUGAUGCAGCAACGCCGCGUGAGGGAUGACGGCCUUCGGGUUGUAAACCUCUUUUAGUAGGGAAGAAGCGAAAGUGACGGUACCUGCAGAAAAAGCACCGGCUAACUACGUGCCAGCAGCCGCCGUAA
rnacentral:rRNA from 1 species